rnacentral:rRNA from 1 species
AUACGGAGGGUGCGAGCGUUAUUCGGAAUUACUGGGCGUAAAGCGCGUGCAGGCGGGUGGAAAAGUCUGAUGUGAAAGCCCCGGGCUCAACCUGGGAAGUGCAUUGGAUACUGGGAGACUUGAAUACGGGAGAGGGUAGUGGAAUUCCUAGUGUAGGAGUGAAAUCCGUAGAUAUUAGGAGGAACACCGGCGGCGAAGGCGGCUACCUGGACCGAUAUUGACGCUGAGACGCGAAAGCGUGGGGAGC